rnacentral:rRNA from 1 species
GAUGAACGCUGGCGGCGUGCCUAAUACAUGCAAGUCGAGCGAACAGAUGAGGAGCUUGCUCCUCUGACGUUAGCGGCGGACGGGUGAGUAACACGUGGAUAACCUACCUAUAAGACUGGGAUAACUUCGGGAAACCGGAGCUAAUACCGGAUAAUAUAUUGAACCGCAUGGUUCAAUAGUGAAAGACGGUUUUGCUGUCACUUAUAGAUGGAUCCGCGCCGCAUUAGCUAGUUGGUAAGGUAACGGCUUACCAAGGCAACGAUGCGUAGCCGACCUGAGAGGGUGAUCGGCCACACUGGAACUGAGACACGGUCCAGACUCCUACGGGAGGCAGCAGUAGGGAAUCUUCCGCAAUGGGCGAAAGCCUGACGGAGCAACGCCGCGUGAGUGAGUAAGGUCUUCGGAUCGUAAAACUCUGUUAUUAGGGAAGAACAAAUGUGUAAGUAACUAUGCACGUCUUGACGGUACCUAAUCAGAAAGCCACGGCUAACUACGUG